UCCAGUAUUGCUUUGCUGCUUUA
rnacentral:miRNA from 11 species